UACGUCAAAUUUAAAAGUGACAACCCUACGGCGUUUUCCUCGCGCGCAAAGAGAACGUUUCAAGAUCAAAACUACCGUUAACUCCGGUUGACUUCGCUCUCCAUCCGAAGGAAUGCGAUCUAGUUAUAUUAAAAGAAUAUAAAUAAAUAUAACUGGAUGUAAAUGAAGAUAAAUGAAGGUAAACGAACGAAAACGAUUCAUAACUCAAAAAUUUGCAAUAUAACCCCGUCAAAAGAGACGUUUCGAAUACUAAAUAGGAUUUAUCGUGCUAUUGUUACCAAUUUUCCAAACCCACACGCGUUAAUCGUAUAAAGGGAUGAUAAAAA